rnacentral:rRNA from 1 species
AGGAUAAACGCUGGCGGCGUGCCUAACACAUGCAAGUCGAACGUCUCUUCUUUCGGGAAGAGGAGUGGCGGACGGGUGAGGAACACGUGGGAACCUGCCCUUCAGUGAGGAAUACCGGCGAGAAAUCGCCGACAAGACCGCAUAGCCCUCUCUGGUGAGAGCCAGAGAAGGAAAGCCUCGCAAGAGGCGCUGGAGGAGGGGCCUGCGUCCGAUUAGCUAGUUGGUGGGGUAAGAGCCUACCAAGGCGUCGAUCGGUAGCUGGUCUGAGAGGACGAUCAGCCACACUGGGAUUGAGAACGGCCCAGACUCCUACGGGGGGCAGCAGUGAGGAAUUUUCGGCAAUGGGGGAAACCCUGACCGAGCAACGCCGCGUGCAGGAAGACGGCCUUCGGGUUGUAAACUGCUUUUCUCUGGACGAGAGCGGACGGUACCAGAGGAAGAAGCCCGGCUAACUACGUGCCAGCAGCCGC